CCUACGGGUGGCUGCAGUGGGGAAUAUUGGACAAUGGGGGGAACCCUGAUCCAGCCAUGCCGCGUGUGUGAAGAAGGCCCUCGGGUUGUAAAGCACUUUCAGUGAGGAAGAACGCCUGGUGGUUAAUACCCAUCAGGAAAGACAUCACUCACAGAAGAAGCACCGGCUAACUCCGUGCCAGCAGCCGCGGUAAUACGGAGGGUGCGAGCGUUAAUCGGAAUUACUGGGCGUAAAGCGCGCGUAGGUGGCUUGAUAAGCCGGUUGUGAAAGCCCCGGGCUCAACCUGGUAACGGCAUCCGGAACUGUCAAGCUAGAGUGCAGGAGAGGAAGGUAGAAUUCCCGGUGUAGCGGUGAAAUGCGUAGAGAUCGGGAGGAAUACCAGUGGCGAAGGCGGCCUUCUGGACUGACACUGACACUGAGGUGCGAAAGCGUGGGUAGCAAACAGGAUUAGAUACCCCUGUAGUC
rnacentral:rRNA from 1 species